AAAAACAUGGCCUUUUGAAAAAAAUUUAAGGUCUAGCCUGCUCAAUGAAUAUUAAAUAGCCGCAGUAUCUUAACUGUGCAAAGGUAGCAUAAUCAUUAGUUUUUUAAUUGAAAGCUGGAAUGAAGGGUUGAAUGAGAAAAUAACUGUCUCUAUAAUAAUUUUUUAGAAUUUUAUUUUUAAGUAAAAAAGCUUAAAUUUAAGUAAAAGACGAGAAGACCCUAUAGAGUUUUAUAUUUAUAAAUUAUAUUUAUUUUUUAGUAUUUUAAAUUUUAUUAUUUUUUAAUAUUUAGUUGGGGUGAUUGGAAAAUUAAUUAAACUUUUCUUGUAUAAGUACAUUUAUAUAUGAAAUUAUGAUCCUUUAAUUUGAGAUUAUAAGAUAAAAUUACCUUAGGGAUAACAGCGUAAUGUUUUUUGAGAGUUCUUAUCGAAAGAAAAUAUUGCGACCUCGAUGUUGGAUUAAAAUAAAUUUUUGGUGUAGAAGCUAAAUUAAUUAGGUCUGUUCGACCUUUAAAAUUUUACUUGAUCUGAGUU
rnacentral:rRNA from 1 species